rnacentral:rRNA from 1 species
UUACGGGAGGCAGCAGUGGGGAAUAUUGGACAAUGGGGGAAACCCUGAUCCAGCCAUGCCGCGUGUGUGAAGAAGGCCUUUUGGUUGUAAAGCACUUUAAGCAGUGAAGAAGACUCUUCGGUUAAUACCCGGAGACGAUGACAUUAGCUGCAGAAUAAGCACCGGCUAACUCUGUGCCAGCAGCCGCGGUAAUACAGAGGGUGCAAGCGUUAAUCGGAAUUACUGGGCGUAAAGCGAGCGUAGGUGGCUUGAUAAGUCAGAUGUGAAAUCCCCGGGCUUAACCUGGGAACUGCAUCUGAUACUGUCAGGCUAGAGUAGGUGAGAGGAAGGUAGAAUUCCAGGUGUAGCGGUGAAAUGCGUAGAGAUCUGGAGGAAUACCGAUGGCGAAGGCAGCCUUCUGGCAUCAUACUGACACUGAGGCUCGAAAGCGUGGGUAGCAAACAGGAUUAGAUACCCUGGUAGUCCACGCCGUAAACGAUGUCUACUAGUCGUUGGGUCCCUUGAGGACUUAGUGACGCAGCUAACGCAAUAAGUAGACCGCCUGGGGAGUACGGCCGCAAGGUUAAAACUCAAAUGAAUUGACGGGGGCCCGCACAAGCGGUGGAGCAUGNNNUUUAAUUCGAUGCAACGCGAAGAACCUUACCUGGUCUUGACAUAUCUAGAAUCCUGCAGAGAUGCGGGAGUGCCUUCGGGAAUUAGAAUACAGGUGCUGCAUGGCUGUCGUCAGCUCGUGUCGUGAGAUGUUGGGUUAAGUCCCGCAACGAGCGCAACCCUUGUCCUUAGUUACCAGCGGGUUAAGCCGGNNNCUCUAAGGAUACUGCCAGUGACAAACUGGAGGANNNNNGGGACGACGUCAAGNNNNCAUGGCCCUUACGACCAGGGCUACACACGUGCUACAAUGGUAGGUACAGAUGGCAGCUACACAGCGAUUAGAUGCGAAUCUCAAAAAGCCUAUC